CAGUAGCCGCGGUAAUACGGAGGAGGCUAGCGUUGUUCGGAAUUACUGGGCGUAAAGCGUGCGCAGGCGGUUGUGUAAGACAGGUGUGAAAUCCCCGGGCUUAACCUGGGAACUGCGCUUGUGACUGCACAGCUAGAGUAUGGCAGAGGGGGGUGGAGUUCCACGUGUAGCAGUGAAAUGCGUAGAGAUCGGGAGGAACAUCAGUGGCGAAGGCGGCCAUCUGGGACAACACUGACGCUGAGGCACGAAAGCGUGGGGAGCAAACAGGAUUAGAGACCCCCGUAGUCCCUGUCUCUUAUAC
rnacentral:rRNA from 1 species